rfam:Monodelphis domestica chromosome 2, whole genome shotgun sequence.
UAAAAGGCUUUUUUAAAAGUCAUUCAUUGAUUCUAAGUAACAAGAU